GACCUUAUAGUCAACAAUGAUAGCAGACUGCAAUUCUGAAGGAGUAGGCGACUACUAAGGUUU
rnacentral:tRNA from 1 species